UUUCUGAGAACUACAUUUUCCUUGAACCUCCCAGAAUGUAGUCAGCCAUGCCAAGCAGGCAUGAUCAAGCAUAGCGAUGUAUGCAACAUCAUAGCAUUAUAAGACAGAGGAGGGCAUUUGUAGCAGAACAGAGGUUUCUUAACCCUGAAUGCAUCUUUAACUAUCUCAGAUGAUCUGUCGCCCUGUGAAGGUGUAAGGUUCAAGAUCACACUGUUCAUUAGAAUACUUUUUUGGGAAAUAUUUUGCUGACACAUACAUGCCUUUUGUGGAGUCCCUCUCCUGCUUGCUCACUGAAAGCCUGUUUUAGAAUGUCGGCCUGACCAAAAAAUUAGGAU